GUGCCACAUAGGGUCCUCUGAAGCACAAGACUGCAAACAGGAGCCUCACUGAGGCAAGUUACAGCUCCCUUCAGGCUCUCAAACUUGAUUUCUUUCCUUCAGAAACCCAGGUGAAGGGAUGGGCAUAUGAACACCUGGAUAUGGGUCAAAUAUGGCACCAAGGCUCAGCUGAAACUUACACCCAGACCCAAGUGUGCUGGUCCUGCACAUACUUUGAAGCUCCCAUGACCUGAAUCAACAAACAGCUUUAUGAUAGCUGCAUGGAUACUCCUCUCUCUAAUUACUUUUUACUGAUUCAGAACCUGGAAUGCUACCUUCAGAUUAUGGAAGCUGGCAAAAUUCAGAACCUGGCAAAAUGGAAAAUAUUCACAUAACUCUCGGCAAGAAACCAAAUCAAACUAUUCUUCUUAAUUGCAGAAAUGAUGCCUGCCUCACACAUAAUGUCUCGGGGACUUUGGUGACUUUGGAAAUUUUGUGGGUCUGCUGAUCUGAGCUACUGAGGAGACUUUUGCAAACAUACCUUCAGAUGCACAUAUACAGAGUAAAUCCCUUCAGAACCUCACUGUUGCUC